rnacentral:rRNA from 1 species
UACGUAGGGUGCAAGCGUUGUCCGGAAUUAUUGGGCGUAAAGAGCUUGUAGGCGGUUUGUCGCGUCUGCUGUGAAAUUUCGGGGCUCAACCCCCGAACUUGCAGUGGGUACGGGCAGACUAGAGUGUGGUAGGGGAGACUGGAAUUCCUGGUGUAGCGGUGAAAUGCGCAGAUAUCAGGAGGAACACCGAUGGCGAAGGCAGGUCUCUGGGCCAUAACUGACGCUGAGAAGCGAAAAGCAUGGGGGAGCGAACAGG